AGCGAACGCUGGCGGCAGGCCUAACACAUGCAAGUCGAACGAACCCCUCGGGGUUAGUGGCGGACGGGUGAGUGACACGUGGGAACGUGCCUUUAGGUUCGGAAUAACUCAGGGAAACUUGUGCUAAUACCGAAUGUGCCCUUCGGGGGAAAGAUUUAUCGCCUUUAGAGCGGCCCGCGCCUGAUUAGCUAGUUGGUGAGGUAAUGGCUAACCAAGGCUACGAUUAGUAGCUGGUCUGAGAGGAUGACCAGCCACAUUGGGACUGAGACACGGCCCAAACUCCUACGGGAGACAGCAGUGGGGAAUCUUGCGCAAUGGGCGAAAGCCUGACGCAGCCAUGCCGCGUGGAUGAUGAAGGUCUUAGGAUUGUAAAAUCCUUUCACCGGUGAAGAUAAUGACUGUAGCCGGAGAAGAAGCCCCGGCUAACUUCGUGCCAGCCGCCGCAGUAAAAC
rnacentral:rRNA from 1 species